rnacentral:lncRNA from 1 species
AAAUAAUUUUUGUAGCGUAAAAGCUAAAUAAAUUCAUACAUACUGUAAUAAAGAUAACCAAAGUAUAAAAUUUAAUUUAUAGUGACACGUGGGCCCAUGAACGACCAAAAGUAUCAAAAGCGAUAAACCUACAGUUUUUGAGGAUGCAAGUGCAACUGUAGCCCUCAAUAAAGUGAGCUAUCUACCUACUAUCCUGAGCCUGAAAUGGGUGGAAAGGAGGGUGGUGAGAUUAUAUAAUCCCAGUGAGUAAACAAAUAUCAUCUAAAAUAUCUAAAGCCUAGUAAAUGGAGACAGAUUAAAAUAGAUUAUCAUACUGUAAUUCAUCACCUUUCGACUCAUUUCAAUCAAAUAAAAUUAAUUCAUAUAAAUCGAGUAAUCAACAUGGCUUAUGAAUUUCUUAAAAGCUUCGGCUCGUGCCAAAAUCAUUCUCAUACUCAGUUGUCAAGGAUACUUUGGCCUUGGGCUAUCCCAAUAGAGUCCGCCAAGGCUGUUAAAAAGUCAUGUACGCAUAAAUCAUAUUUUUAUUUUGAAAACAUAGUCGUUCCUUGGCGUUGACUGAGUUCACCCUCACGUGGUGGUUUGGCGUGAAGUGAACUCUAAAGUUGUACCUCGGAAGUUACCCUACACGCCUCUACGACCGAGAUAAGAAUAUAACGGGGUAACCGUACCCUUCUAAUAGGCUGGUCAACAAAACCCGCCCACUGCAGCAAACUAAACCCACCAAUUCAAUAAAAUCUCAACCGCAUGACAUGGCAAUUAUAUCACAAUCCAGCAUCUCAAGGCUAAAUACACAAUUCAUAUAUUUCAACACAAAUACCAAUUCAGCCAUUCAUGCAAAUAUUGUCAUAAGCCAUUCGAUUCAAACCAUGAAUUUACAACACAUGAAAAUAGUCUCCAGUUACUCUAUUUUCAAACCAUCAUUCAAUUUCAAGACAAUGUUAUAAAAUCAUUUCAUUAAAUCACAUUUUAAUUACAAAACACAAAGAUUUACCAUUUAACUCAUUUUUCAUAAAAUCACAAAAUCGGAUAAAAACCACUUUAGAUAAUUAAGAUGAUAGUAAGGUUCCUCACUAUUUUGGGAGUCGAAUUCCGAGUACUCCAAUUCUUGAUCCUCGGGUGCUAUCUAUUUACUUUUGCCAGAAAGCUCACCACCUAGACAUAAUGCACAAUAAGCCAUUUACUACAUUUGUGCUAAAUUGUUAUAAAACCAAUUCAGACUCUAUACUAAUGCAUGAAAUGGGAUGUGCAAUACUCGAGUAACUAUCUAAAUACGGUGUUCAAUAUAAAUUCAAUUAUGCACCUAAAUAAAACGGUAUUGGCCUAAUUCGAUCUAUCACUCGAUUAAUUUGCCAAUAUGUCCAAUUCAACUCCAAUUAACUCCAUUUUUCUUCCAAUUCUCCAAACCAUCAAACACAAAUUAAAUAACUUGAAAUAUGGCAAAAUCAUCCUCACAUUUGCUCUUGGAAAAUUUGGCCAUGGUGGGUGCAUUAAUACUAUGAUUUUUCCUACUUGAUUUUCUCACCGUAAUUCAUAAUUUCCUAACCAAUUCACUUGAAAUAAAAUCAAAUCCACCAUCCAUACUCUACAUGGAAGAUUCGGCCGAUGAUGGGUUACGGAAGAACAUGAAUUUUUCUUGUUUGUUUUUCAUGCUACACAUCAUUAACUAACUAAAAACACUAAAAUACAUUGAAAUCUAACCAAAUCCAAGUUCAAAACUCCUCCCCCCAUGUCCGGCCAGCAAGGGUAUCCUCAUGCAAACUUGAUUCCCAACCAUGGAAAAUGAAAAAGAAUGGAUAGGAAAGGUAAAUCACAAGCUAGAAUUGUAAAAUCUUACCUUUUGUCACUUGAUUCUUUGAAAUUUUGUGAAUUUCUCUUGAAUUUCUUAGCUAGGUUUUUGUUCUUCUUCUUUUCUUCCCUUUUCUUCCUUUGGCCA